ensembl:lincRNA
GCCCAGUGCCGCUGGAGCGUUGGUGGGGGCAUUCUGGGAAAAGAGGGGCAAAGCUUCAUUAAAAGGAAUCCCAGAUAAUUUGGUUGCGUCUGUAUUUUCCAGUGAUGAUGACUGAGGAGGCUCUGUUUUUUAAAUGCUAUAACCAGCACGAUUCAUUUCAGUGGCUCCUGAAGAGAGGGCUUUGACGGGAGUUGCUGGUCUGCAAAGAGUCCAGCUUUGUUUUUAGCAGAGACACAUCGGCCUCCUUUUCUCCCUCUUCAGCCCCUGCGUGCCCUCUCGUCGUGCUCUUUCCCUUGUGCAGAUCCAAAUCUGCUGCUGGGCAUUUUUAGUCAAGCUAAGCUGUCGCAGAGAUAAGUUCUGCGCCCACUUCUCUGUGCCCAAGGUGGCGUCUUUCUUCUCUCCCCAGAUGGUGCCAUUGCAAGCUGAAAUCAUGGAAGCAGCUUCUCACUACCUUGCCAAUCCCCAGGAAGCAGCAAAUGUGUCCACAGAGUCUGGCUCCACAGAUGAAAAGACAGAGAAACUUGCUCUCAUUUAAAUCUGUGUUACUGGGUUCUAAAAGAAUGAGGUGUUAGCAAAUCUGAACUGAAUCAACAGUUUGGGGAGUAGCAGAGUAUACCACUUCCUCAUCGGUAAGAAGAUACACUCCUGAAUAUCUUUAAACAACAUGCCCCUUCAAUGCACUGGAAAUGUG